GAUGAAGAACGUAGCGAAAUGCGAUAAGUAAUGUGAAUUGCAGAAUUCAGUGAAUCAUCGAAUCUUUGAACGCACAUUGCGCCCCCUGGCAUUCCGGGGGGCAUGCCUGUCCGAGCGUCAUUUCUGCCCUCCAGCCCGGCUGGGUGUUGGGCGCUGUCCCCCCGGGGACACGCCCCAAAGGCAGUGGCGGCGCCGCGUCGGGUCCUCGAGCGUAUGGGGCUUUGUCACCCGCUCGGGACGGACUCGUCGGCGCUGGUCUUCCUCCAGGCGACCCUUCGGGGCUCGUCUUCCUUCGGUUGACCUCGGAUCAGGUAGGGUUACCCGCUGAACUUAAGCAUAUCAAUGAGCGGAGGA
rnacentral:misc_RNA from 1 species